rnacentral:rRNA from 1 species
AUUGAACGCUGGCGGCAGGCCUAACACAUGCAAGUCGAACGAGUGGCGGACGGGUGAGUAAUGUCUGGGGAACUGACUGAUGGAGGGGGAUAACUACUGGAAACGGUAGCUAAUACCGCAUACCAUCAGAUGUACCCAGAUGGGAUUAGCUUGUUGGUGGGGUAAAGUCUCACCAAGGCGACGAUCUCUAGCUGGUCUGAGAGGAUGAUCAGCCACAAUGGAACUGAGACACGGUCCAGACUCCUACGGGAGGCAGCAGUGGGUAAUAUUGCACAAUGGGCGCAAGCCUGAUGCAGCCAUGCCGCGUGUAUGAAGAAGGCCUUAGGGUUGUAAAGUACUUUCAGCGGGGAGGCGUUACCCGCAGAAGAAGCACCGGCUAACGCCGUGCCAGCAGCCGCGGUAAUUC